UACGUAGGGGGCAAGCGUUGUCCGGAAUCAUUGGGCGUAAAGAGCGUGUAGGCGGCCCGGUAAGUCCGCCGUGAAAGUCCAGGGCUCAACCCUGGGAUGCCGGUGGAAACUGUCGGGCUCGAGUCCGGAAGAGGCGAGUGGAAUUCCUGGUGUAGCGGUGAAAUGCGCAGAUAUCAGGAGGAACACCGGUGGCGAAGGCGGGUCUCUGGGCCGUAACUGACGCUGAGGAGCGAAAGCGUGGGGAGCGAACAGG
rnacentral:rRNA from 1 species